CACACACACACACACACACACACGCAUACACACAUACUUACAUCCACACACAAAUGCAUACACACACAUGCAUGCAUACACACAUCCAUACACAAAUGCAAACACACACACAUAUAAAUGCACACACACUCCCAUGCAUGCACACACUUACACACAUGAAUGCAUAUACACACACUCACACACACACACUUACAUGCAUGCAUACACACAUACUCACAUCCACACACAAAUGCACACACACACUUACAUGCAUGCAUACACACGUCCACAGACACAAAUGAAAACACACACACAUACAAAUGCACACACUCCCAUGCAUGCACACACUUAUACACAUGAA
rnacentral:lncRNA from 1 species